rnacentral:rRNA from 1 species
UACGUAGGGUGCAAGCGUUAAUCGGAAUUACUGGGCGUAAAGCGUGCGCAGGCGGUUUUGUAAGUCUGACGUGAAAUCCCCGGGCUCAACCUGGGAAUUGCAUUUGUGACUGCAUAGCUAGAGUACGGUAGAGGGGGAUGGAAUUCCGCGUGUAGCAGUGAAAUGCGUAGAUAUGCGGAGGAACACCGAUGGCGAAGGCAGCCCCCUGGGUCAAGAUUGACGCUCAUGCACGAAAGCGUGGGGAGCAAACAGG